UCCUGUUUAAGUAUUGAUUAGAUUCAUGACUUGAUUUUUCUGCUCUAGAAAUUUUUAGUUCACACAUUAAUUCUCAAGUUGUAGGAUGACUCUUAUGUUUUCCAGUCAACAUAUUACAAAAUCAAGGGACUACCAAGGGACUUAAACUAGGGAAUUGAUCCGCUGUUUUCUUACCAGUGGAAGCUGCUAGAUGGCAGAGAAAGCAUGUGUAAAGCGCCUUCAGAAGGAAUAUAGAGCCCUUUGUAAAUUACUUGGUUGGAUGCAUCGCAAGUUCCGGGCGAAUGAACCACUGAAGGAUUUUAGCGUAGGGAAUUCUUGUACUUGUCUUUCAGGGAAGCCAUCACUGGAUGACCAACAGUACUACCCAAAGUCAAAUUUUGGCACUAAAUCCUUAGGCAAAGCACAAAGAGACAACCAUCUGCAAAAAUCACUUUUCAGCCUAGAAGCAGCAAGAGUAGAAGCAGACGACUUUGAAGAAGAAUCUUCAGUUGCGAUUUCCAAGCUCUUUCAUGGCUUCCUUACCAUAGGUACUCUUGGUUCGGACCCAGUCAUCACAGACCCAUCAACGCCAACAUUUGCCACAUCAGUUGAGAACAUAACUGAAAAAGAAACAGAAGUAACAGAGAAUGAACUGAAGCUUAUUAAUGAUGAGUUGGAGAAGGUGAUAGGGGCUGAAGGAGAUGGUUGCAAUGACUCAUCUGGGAGAAACAGUCAUGUUAGUACUGGAAGAAAUAGUUAUGUUAGCACUGGAAGAAGCAGCCAUGGUAGCACCAUUACACUUAGCGAAAAGCCAUUGGAAGGCACAGAGACCAAUGGGAAUGGAACAACAAUCUGUCCACUCCAAGGCUAUCUGUUUGGAUCAGCAAUUGAGUUGCCAGAAACAACCACAGUGGUAAAGCAGGAACAUAGAACAUCGCUUGGGGAGCUAUUUCAAAGGACAAAAAUAGCAGAGGAAAAUUAUGUAGCCAAAAGCGAGAGGGGAGAAAAACGGACAGAAAAUGAGACAGAUAAAUCAGUCAUACACCUCAUGAAAAAGAUGCUGAAGAAAAGAAUGGUUCAUGGUUCUUCUCGGAGCUGCACCACAUCGACUGGGGGAAAUGUUGACUCUGCUUCAUCUGAGACAAAACUGCAUAAGACAGAUAUAGGAACAGAAGCUGAGCUGGAUCUGAAGCUGCAGCUGUGAGAUGGGCGUGAGUGCUGCUGAUAUGGUGGUGGCACUGAUGCCUUAGACUGUAGCAGCAUAAGCUGUGACUUUAGAACGCAAGAGAGGGGUCGUGCAAGAGAUGGAAAUUGAUGGAAAAAUCGCGGCAAAUUUAGAGCGCCUUUUUUGUUCAAGAUAAAUCAGCAGAUGUUCAUAAAACAGAUUAAGUAUGCAUUGGUGAAAUUUUCAGAGUUUGUGGUCCUGAUACAGUGACCAAGAAUUUGAAAGAUAUUCAAGGACCUGCCUUAGCUAUUGUUCUUGAACGACUGAAGCACUCUGGGACUUUUCAAG